rnacentral:piRNA from 1 species
UAUCGCAUAGUGAAGCUUGUCCCGUGGUC